UUGACGGUACCCUACUAGAAAGGAGCCGCUAACUUCGUGCCAGAAGCGUCGGUAAUACGGGGGCUCCAAGCGUUAUCCGGUGUUAUUGGGCGUAAAGAGUCGUGUAGGUGGUUGGGUAAGUUAUCUUUCAAAUAUCUUUGCUUAACAAAGAGGAGGGGGAUAAUACUGCUCGACUAGAAUUUUCUCAAGGGAGAUCGGAACUGAGGGAGGAGUAGUGAAAUGCGUUGAUACCCUCGGGAACACCAGUGGCGUAGGCGGAUCUCUGGGAGAAGAUUGACACUGAGACACGAAAGCUAGGGGAGCGAAGCAGAUUAGAGACCUGCGUAGUCCUAGCCGUAAACGCAUGCUUGCUAGCUGCAUGAAUCUACCUUCGGGUGGUAUCGUGUGGCGAAGGUAACCCGUUAAGCAAGCCGCCUGGAAAGUACGGCCGCAAGGCUGAAAUUCAAAGGAAUUGGCGGGGAGGCACACAACCAGUGGAACAUGUGGUUUAAUUCGAGACUAACCGAAGAACCUCACCAGGGUUUGACAUGUAGCUGCACGUCUUAAGAAAUUAAGACUCUCUUGAAGGUGCUACACAGGUGCUGCAUGGCUGUCGUCAGCUCGUUCCGUGAGGAGUGCCCUUAAGUGGGACAACGAGCGCAACCCCUAUUACAUGUUAGAAAUGUCAUGUAAGACUGCCUUGCCAUUUGGCGGGGAGGAAGGAGGGGCAGACGUCAAGUCCGCAUGGUCCUUAUGCCCUGGGCUACACACAUGUUACAAUGAGUACGGCAAUGAGUCUGUCGCGAGCACGUAAGUGUAAGCUAAUCUCUUAAAUGUACUCUCAGUGGGGAUUGAGGUCUGCAACUCGACCUCAUGAACACGGAAUUGGUAGUCCUCCCGGGUCAGCUAUACCGCGGUGAUACGUUCUUGCCUCUUGCACACACCGCCCGUCAAACCAGCAAAGU
rnacentral:rRNA from 1 species